rnacentral:tRNA from 1 species
GCGCGGAUGGCGGAAUGGUAGACGCGCGGGACUUAGGAUCCCGUGGGGCGACCCGUCCGAGUUCGAGUCUCGGUCCGCGCA